AAGUCCCCAACACUAAGGCUUCUAAUUAACCCAUCUACCAAACAUCCAACCUCAAACCACAAUCCCCAUACCGAAGGCAAAAACCCAUGAAAGAAUCGAGAAGCACUGGUUAAAACGCCUGACAAUUUCACCUUCUAAUCAAAUCAAAACCCAUAAUUUUUAUUCUCGAAAUGCAGAGAUUGUGCACAAAGCUUCGAUCUUUAGCCUCUGUUUCCUCCUCACAUCGCCUUCUCCACUCGUCUCCGCAAUUUUAUCACCGACCUCUCCAUUUCGCCGCUGCUUCAAGUAAAUGGAGUCUUAAUGGGUCCCUUUUGAACACAUCUUCUUCGUUACCAAUUCAGCUUCCUUCGCUACCAUUUCUUCCCUCUUUUCGUCUGUCUCCACUCUCCGACCCUAGGAUUUUCGCUCUGGUGUGCCUUCAGUUGGUGCAAGUGCGUCAUGUUUCAUCAAGGGAGCGGAAAAAGAAUAGGAAGCCAAUGACUCCACUCACCUCCAAAGUCAAAAAGUUUAAAAUGAAGGCUUACUCGUCGUAUAAGGACAGGUUUAGGACAAUGAAUGAUGGGACUAUUCGUCGCUGGAGGGAGGGCAAGAAUCAUAAUGCGCACUUGAAGGUCAUUGCAUUUAGGAUCUCUUUUGGUCCUGGUGUGCUCAACUCGAUUUUCUUUCCAUUUGCAUUGUGGUAUUGAAGAGUUUUAUUGAUGGUGGACAAAAAUAUCCUAUUAGCUUCUGUUUACUGUACCAUGGUAUCCCCUAGCACAUUGUAAAUCAUAUUUUGCCCUGAGGAAUGACGGUGGAAGAUACAUUGCCCAAUGAAGGUGGCAUUUUGAAGAUUCUUUUCCUGAAUGGAGAAGUGGUGUUGAUGGGUUUGAACUUCACUCAAUCAGAAAUAAGAUGAACACAACUUGAACUGUUUAUUUGUGAAGUGCCCCCCGCCCCCUAUUCCUCUCCUCUCAGGUUCCAAAAAUUUCAAAGAAAUCAAGACGUAGACUUAGACAACCAUCUACUGUCCCUGCAGCCUAUGCCAAAGUCAUGAAGAAGCUUAGUUUCUGUGUUUAAAAAUGCAGAUGCUGCCAAUUACUUGGAUGGAAGACGAAAAUGUC